GCCCUGGAAACGGGGUCUAAUACCGGAUAACACCCUCGCAGGCAUCUGCGAGGGUUAAAAGCUCCGGCGGUGCAGGAUGAGCCCGCGGCCUAUCAGCUUGUUGGUGAGGUAAUGGCUCACCAAGGCGACGACGGGUAGCCGGCCUGAGAGGGCGACCGGCCACACUGGGACUGAGACACGGCCCACACUCCUACGGGAGGCAGCAGUGGGGAAUAUUGCACAAUGGGCGAAAGCCUGAUGCAGCGACGCCGCGUGAGGGAUGACGGCCUUCGGGUUGUAAACCUCUUUCAGCAGGGAAGAAGCGAAAGUGACGGUACCUGCAAAAGAAGCGCCGGCUAACUACGUGCCAGCAGCCGCGGUAAUACGUAGGGCGCAAGCGUUGUCCGGAAUUAUUGGGCGUAAAGAGCUCGUAGGCGGCUUGUCACGUCGAUUGUGAAAGCCCGAGGCUUAACCUCGGGUCUGCAGUCGAUACGGGCUAGCUAGAGUGUGGUAGGGGAGAUCGGAAUUCCUGGUGUAGCGGUGAAAUGCGCAGAUAUCAGGAGGAACACCGGUGGCGAAGGCGGAUCUCUGGGCCAUUACUGACGCUGAGGAGCGAAAGCGUGGGGAGCGAACAGGAUUAGAUACCCUGGUAGUCCACGCCGUAAACGGUGGGAACUAGGUGUUGGCGACAUUCCACGUCGUCGGUGCCGCAGCUAACGCAUU
rnacentral:rRNA from 1 species